AUUGAACGCUGGCGGCAUGCUUUACACAUGCAAGUCGAACGGCAGCGCGGGGCAACCUGGCGGCGAGCGGCGAACGGGUGAGUAAUAUAUCGGAACGUACCCAAGAGUGGGGGAUAACGUAGCGAAAGUUACGCUAAUACCGCAUACGAUCCAAGGAUGAAAGCAGGGGACCUUCGGGCCUUGUGCUCCUGGAGCGGCCGAUAUCUGAUUAGCUAGUUGGUGAGGUAAAGGCUCACCAAGGCUACGAUCAGUAGCUGGUCUGAGAGGACGACCAGCCACACUGGAACUGAGACACGGUCCAGACUCCUACGGGAGGCAGCAGUGGGGAAUUUUGGACAAUGGGCGAAAGCUGGAUCCAGCAAUGCCGCGUGAGUGAAGAAGGCCUUCGGGUUGUAAAGCUCUUUUGUUAGGGAAGAAACGGUUUGGGCUAAUAUCCUGGGCUAAUGACGGUACCUGAAGAAUAAGCACCGGCUAACUACGUGC
rnacentral:rRNA from 1 species